CUCUGGCAGGCGCUGGGAAAAGAGCAGGGAACAGGAGAGACAGAUCCCUGCCCGCAUGGGGGCUCUACGGGGAGAGAAGACACUAACCGAAGUGAAGAAGGGAAAGAUCUAGUGUGUCACAUGGUGAUGGAGAGAACAGAGGGAUUCCGUGUGUGAGGGAUCACCAGAAUCCCAGCAAUAAAAAUGGACGUCUGUCGAGCAGUUCCCAUUAACCAAGAAACGUGUGAACAGCUUUGCACAAAUGAUGUCGGCGGAAGACCCACCGGUCUGUCCAGCUGUUCGACGCCCCCCGCUCCCCGCCCGCCGUGAGGAUUCUAGACGCUUCCCUCUCCCUCAGCCCCCGUGCCCAAGCCAUCACCAACAUCGGUAUAGUCGCCUGCCCAAUUUUAAAUGUUUCUUUAUUUACAUCUAGAGAGAGAGAGAGAGAAAGAGGGCACAAGCAGGGGAGGGGCGGAGGGAAAGAGAAAAUCUCAAGCAGGCCCCACCGGCUCGACCUCGCGACCCCGGGGACCACGACCCGAGCCGAAAUCAAGAGUGGGGCGCUCACCCCACCGAGCCACCCAGGCGCUCCCCGACCCAAACACCGUUCAAAGGCGCUACUGAGACAGAACUCAGACGCCACACAAUUGGCCCACUUGAAUCAUACAAGUCAGUGUUUUGUGAGUAAUUCACCGAGCUGUGUAAACACCACCAGAAUCCAUCUGAGCGCAUUUGCAUCACCCCCCCCCCCGCCCCCCGUGAGAAAUCCCUGAUCUCUCCCCCCCCAACCCCGCCCCCCAGCCCAUCCCAAGGCAACCACUCAUUUACUUUCUCUCUGGCCUCUUCAGGACCUUUCCUGUAAAGGGAGGCCCACAAUACGCGGCCCUUUGGGUCUGGCCCCUUGCCCUCAGCACCGUGGUUUCAAUGUUCAUUCGUGUUGUCAGCGCCCGUCGCUAAUCCACUCCCCUUUGUGUGGCCGAAUAAUCCUCCAUUGUCUGGA